UAAUUAGAAACAAUAGUUGCUUUGGAUUCAAAUUGUUGUCUUUUGUUUUUAAAGAUCAACAACGCAGAAGGCAUUGGUGGCAAUCAUCAGGGUUUUGGUAGCAACUUGACUCAUGAUUUUUUCAAAAAUAGCAUAUGGACAAGUACAAUACAUGAAGAUAGCAUACCAUGGAUGCAGAUUGUUAUCGAAAGAUGAAAAAGUCGCUACACAUGGGAACACUCUUAUUAUAGAUGCUUUUGAUGGUCCUAAUUACGCACACAUUGAUACAUUUAUCUCUUUAGCUGAAGCAUCUUUUUGCUUAGCUCAUACAUUUCAAGGAUAGUAAUCCGUAUAAAAUCUCAGAAGUAGAAGGGUGGAAGGCUCUGGACUCCGCAGCUUUGUGUACACUAGGAGCACUUGCAUUAGCCACUAAACCUCCUACCAAUGAAUUGAUGGAAUGACAACUGGACCGAAUUAAUG